rnacentral:ncRNA from 15 species
AUGAUGAGGAACAGUUAAAAUUUUAUGGUUAGAACACAUAUGAUUAACCGUGAUUAUCAAUUAACUAGGGCGGACUGACUCG